UCUGUGAGUGUGCUUCCUGCAAGAGAG
rnacentral:sRNA from 1 species